rnacentral:siRNA from 1 species
GACCGAAGGGACAAGCCGACCAAU